UACGUAGGGACCGAGCGUUGUCCGGAAUCAUUGGGCGUAAAGAGCGUGUAGGCGGCUAUUUAAGUCCUGCGUGAAAUCCUGCGGCUCAACCGCAGACGGUCGUGGGAAACUGGAUGGCUAGAGUGCGGGAGAGGAGAGUGGAAUUCCCGGUGUAGCGGUGAAAUGCGCAGAUAUCGGGAGGAACACCGGUGGCGAAGGCGGGUCUCUGGGCCGAUACUGACGCUGAGGAGCGAAAGCGUGGGGAGCGAACAGG
rnacentral:rRNA from 1 species